GACGAACGCUGGCGGCGUGCUUAACACAUGCAAGUCGAGCGGAGCGGCGCACGGGUGAGUACCGCGUGAGUAACUGCCCCCCUCUCUGGGAUAACAGUUGGAAACGGCUGCUAAUACCGGAUAGUGGGGGAUGACUCGCGUCCUAUCGGCUUGGUGGUGGGGUAUUGGCCUACCAAGGCGACGACGGGUAGCCGGCCUGAGAGGGCGACCGGCCAAAUUGGUCUGGGAUACGACCCAAACGCCUACGGUAGGCAGCAGUGGGGAAUAUUGCACAAUGAGGGAAAACAUGAAGCAGCAACGCCGCGUGCGGGAUGACGGCCUUCGGGUUGUAAACCGCUUGCAGCCAUGACGCGGUAGUGGCAGAAGAAGCACCGGCUAACUACGUGCCAGCAGCCGCGGUAAUUC
rnacentral:rRNA from 1 species